UACGAAGGGGGCUAGCGUUGCUCGAAAUGACUGGGCGUAAAGGGCGCGUAGGCGGCGGUCACAGUCAGAUGUGAAAUUCCUGGGCUUAACCUGGGGGCUGCAUUUGAUACGUGGUUGCUUGAGUGGGGAAGAGGGUCGUGGAAUUCCCAGUGUAGAGGUGAAAUUCGUAGAUAUUGGGAAGAACACCGGUGGCGAAGGCGGCGACCUGGUCCUUGACUGACGCUGAUGCGCGAAAGCGUGGGGAGCAAACGGG
rnacentral:rRNA from 1 species